rnacentral:misc_RNA from 1 species
AAGUCGUAACAAGGUCUCCGUAGGUGAACCUGCGGAGGGAUCAUUACCAGAGAUGGUGGGCCCCGCGCCCCCGUCCCCAACCCAAUGUUGACCAAAACCCUUUUUGCCUCGGGGGCAGAGCGUCCGCCGCCGCCCCCGGAGGACCAACCAACGCUGUCUCUUUGCGUCGGAGUAAUUGACUUAAAUGAAUGAAAACUUUCAACAACGGAUCUCUUGGUUCUG